rnacentral:rRNA from 1 species
GGAUGAACGCUAGCGGCAGGCCUAACACAUGCAAGUCGAGGGGUAGGGUUACUUCGGUAACCUGAGACCGGCGCACGGGUGCGUAACGCGUAUGCAAUCUACCUUUUACUAUGGGAUAGCCCAGAGAAAUUUGGAUUAAUACCAUAUAGUAUAUUUGAAUGGCAUCGUUUAAAUAUUAAAGAUUUAUCGGUAAAAGAUGAGCAUGCGUCCCAUUAGUUAGUUGGUGUGGUAACGGCACACCAAGACGAUGAUGGGUAGGGGUCCUGAGAGGGAGAUCCCCCACACUGGUACUGAGACACGGACCAGACUCCUACGGGAGGCAGCAGUGAGGAAUAUUGGUCAAUGGAGGCAACUCUGAACCAGCCAUGCCGCGUGCAGGAUGACGGUCCUAUGGAUUGUAAACUGCUUUUGUACGGGAAGAAAACAAGCUACGUGUAGCUAAUUGACGGUACCGUAAGAAUAAGGAUCGGCUAACUCCGU